rnacentral:lncRNA from 1 species
AACAUGUUCCUCCAUGAUUUCGACGCCGGUGUUCCGUUUUUAUCGGUUCGAAUCGGUUGUCGAUUAUCCGAGUUUCUCAGGCAUCAUCAAAUUGAGACCUUGAACAACUUGCUCCCAUGCCCUCCUUUCUGCAAGGAAUCAAAUCAUCAGGGUCCUCUCUUGGUUUGUCAAGUCACCAUGUUUGCAUGUGGGGGAAUAGCUUUAGGCAUCUGCGCCUCACAUAAAAUCACUGACGCCAAAACAGGCUUCAUUUUAGGCUUUGUUUGGAGCACAAUCUGCCAAGGAUACCACCCUGAAAUUAGAUUUCCUGCCUUAUCUAAGGCAUCCUUGAUCUUUCCACCUAAAAAUCCAAUGCCCAAGAAUUACAUAAUCAUGAUGGAAAACUUAUGGUUCACUGAAGGUAAUUUUAUUACACGGACAUUUGUGUUUAAUGAGGAAGCAAUAGCCGUCCUAAAGGACAUGGCAAAAGGGGAAGUCGAGACUACACCGACACGAACCGAAGCUGUCUCGGGUUUCAUCUGGAAAUGUUCAAUGGCGGCAUCCAGGGCGAUACAAGGAACCUCGAAACCAUCCAUUGUGGUCCAAGCGGUGAACAUGAGGCCAAAAGGGAAGCUUACGACAUGAGAUGGUUCGGUUGGGAAUGUCUUCUGGUGGGCGAGUGCACUCUCGAAUGCAGCCGAGACAGGCACCGAGUUAUCCACAUUGGUCGAGUUGAUGAGUCAAUCCAUUGCUGUUUUCGACGAUGAAUACAUGAGAUCCGUCCAAGGUGAACAAGGGUUUGAAGCCAUCGCUGAGCACUUGAACCAGCUGGAGCUGUUGUUUUCCUUUGAAAAACCUGAUAUUUUCGCCUUCACCAACUGGAUCAAUACCGAUUUUCACAAACUAGAUUUCGAAUGGGGGCAACGUUCUUCAUUUGCAUUACUGGGAAAGUAACAUUAUUCAAAAUAAUAAUUAAUUAAAAAUAUAUAGAUAUAAAUUAUUUUGAUAUUUGAAAUAUAGUGAUAAUAAAAAAAAUUCUAAUCAUUAUUAAAGAAUUUGUAAAAAAUAUAAAAAAUUUUGAUAUAUUGUAAAUUUUAAUUUAAAAAUAGUAUUUUUAUCUUUUAUUAUUUUUAUACAACAUUUUAACUAAAAAAUUACAAAAAUAGUAUUUUUAAAUAAAGAUUUAAACUGAAAUUGAUAAGAAUUUAUACAUAACUAUUCAUUUAUUGAAUACAUCUUUUAUAAAUAUGUUUUAUAUAAAAUUUUAUCAUUUCACCCAGUUAAUAAAUAUUUAAUUAUAAAUAUGAUUCAUUUUUAUGAUUUUAUUAUGAUUCAUUUACUAAAUCGAAUUAUGAUGAAUAGUUCAAAAAUUUUAAAAAAAUUCGUUUAAAUUAAACUGAUAACAUCCCUAAAAAUAAUAGACUGAGGCGACAUUAUAUAUAUGUGAUAAUAUAUUUAUCAUUUCAAAUUUUGAAAAUAACAAAAAUUAAUUGAUUUAACAGCUACAACUUCAUCAGGACUAGCAGAAUUAAACCUAUGCUUUUAAUAAGGUGAAAAAGUGCAAAAUUUAACCUAUUCUUUUAAAUAAAUUGAAAAAAAGAAGAAGCAAAAUCCGACCUGCCGGAUUCGAACCAGCGACCUAAGGAUGGCUAUUAGGAUGUCCUACUACAGUCCUCCGCUCUACCAACUUAGCUAAGGACGGUUAAUUGUUAACAAUAUUAUAGAAUUCCUUAAUUAAACUGAUAUGGAAAUUAUUUGGAUAAUUAAUACUUACAUGACGUAUUUAACUUUUUUUUUUAUAAUAUUAGUACUUAAAGUUACUUAUGUCAAUUCUUACAAUUACCACAAGUAAUUUUCUUUUUCAUUAACGGAAAUUAUCACUUGACCGGUUUGACUAUUAACAUCGUUGACAUGGUUGACAAAAGCUACCAAAAUUUGCCACGUGGUAGUAUGCUAACCUAGCAUGCCUAGUCAGCAAAAAAAAAUUAUUUUUUAAAAUUUUGAAUAAUUAUUUUUUGAAAAUAUAGUUUUUUUUUAUAAAAAUUCAAAUGUGCAUAUAGAAUGAAUCUAGAUAAUAAGUUCUCCAGAUUCAAAUGAAUUUGUACAAACGGCUGUACAAAUUCAUUUUAGAGGAGUACAAAAUUAAAAAAAAUCUAAAAAUAAAUAAAAUUAUCAAAUGUUAAAAAACUCAAAAAAAAAUUUAAAAUAUUUUUAAUUUUUUUAAAUCAAUGAAGAUUUUUAACAAUUUGCUACGUAGUUCCAAAUCAACAACAUAAAAUUAAAGUUUUAAUUAAUGUAAUUAAAAUGCAUAUUUUUUAAUUUAAAAAAUUUUGAUUUUUUUAUAUUUGCCACGUGAGCAUGAAAUUUACAUUUUUCAAUUAUAACAUUCAAUUUAGCUAUCAUUACGAUUUAAUCUGAAAUACCAAAACAUCAAAUAACUAUCAAUCUAAUCUAUACAUAGUAUAAUAUUUAUCAAAACUACAUUCAGAACAUCAAUUAAUGAAUUUAAAUCUUUAUAUGAACUUACCUCGACAAAAACAAUUGUAAAAACGAAACUGACAACUAAUCUGACACUUUAGCUUUUCCUCAGUUUAGAUCCGUUUGGUUCGUUUAUUGAUCCAAACAAUAAGUUUCAUUCAAUUAAACCACCGAAAUAACUUAGAAUAAUUAAUUCAACUUAUAACCCUUAUCAAUGAGAAAUUACAACUUUUAAUUAAUCGAUCAAGUUUAGAGUUCAGGGUUUAAGAUUCAAGGUUGGGAUUUGAGGUUUAGGGUUCCGAGUUUUGGGUUUAGAAUUCAAGGUUUGGUUUAAAAAAUUUACCAAAAUUAUAAAUCAAUGACAUAAAAAGAAUUGUUGAAAUAUCAUUAAAUAGUUGAAAAGAAAUACAGGAUGCCAUGACGCCCCUGCUCAUCUACUAAAAAUUUGAAUAUGAAUAUGAAAAAAUAUAUAAUUAUAUAAAUCAAACACAUGCAUUCAACACUUAUAUUAAAAUCCAACUAGAUUUUAAAUAUGGGUGGGUCGGGUCCAAAUUUACUUUUCUUAAAUCGGAUCGAGUUUGAAUAAAAAAGUAAGUCCAUUUUCUGGACUGAAUUAAUCCCGAACUUAAAAAAUUGACUUAAAUAAGUUGCAUGAAUUCGACCCAAAUCUAACCCAACCCAAUUCAUAAAUAUCACUUAUUGCAAUUAAGCUAACGAAAAUUAUUAAGUUAAAUAACUUCUUAAAAUAGGUGAGUAGACAAUUUAAGCUAAUAAUAAUUCAAAGAAAAAGGUGCAAAGUGUAGGCCAUGAGCAUUAAAAUUUUCCUUCUUCUUGGAGUAAGCACAAUUACUAAAGAGUGAAUUCAAUUUAAACAACUAGGACCUAUAAUAAGAGCAUUCAUUUUUCUUUUCUGCCUCUUGCAUUUAUAUGGUAACUCACCCUUACAUAUCAACAUACAAAAUUGUUCUUUCAAAAAAGGACAUUUGUUUAUAUAAGUUAUUUUAGAUAAAACAUCAAUAAAAUAUUCUUCCAACUCAUAUUCGGGGUUAUACAAGCUUAUAAAAGCUCCAAUGGUAACCCGAGACCAUAUGAGAACUAAAAUACAAAGUUCUCAAGUUUUAUCGAGUUGGCGUCGCCACCAUGAAGGUUUCACGUCACGUCAUCCAUGGCAAAAACAUGGCGUCGUGACUUUGGUGCAAUGUUACGACUCUAAAAACAGUGAGUUGACGUUGCGACCUCAAACAGGGGACAUAGUGAUGUUGAAAGCUAGUGUCGCGACCUUGUAGGCAAAAUCCUACAAGCUCAUACCUUUUUAGUUUCAUCUUAUCAUUUAACAAAGUAUAGUUGAUCUUAAGACCUAAGUAACAAACAUCACAAUAUAUAGGUCCAAUUUCACAUCUUAAACCAAUAAGACUUUAACCGUCAUUCCACCAACACGCUUACAAGUGUGGGGUCCAAUUUGCACCCCUUACCCAUACGGGCCGUGUGCAAAAAUCCCGCGUCUCACAAGUAUGGUUCGAUUAAAAACGAUAGAGGAGUAGAUAGAUUGCGAAUGCACGUCUCCAAAAUUCGAUUUUCCAGCUAAUUAUAAACAAAAAACAUACAAAAUCUUAAAUUUCAAUAUAACAACAAAAUAAUUAGAUUAAAUUAGAUUAAAAGUAAUAAAAAAUUCUUACCAUUUGCAAUUGAACGGUCGAACUAAACGAAUAAGAGAAUUUGUCAUUAAUAAUUUCAAUAAAUAAGAAUAAAAAUUGUAAUACAAAAUUAAUUAAAAAAACCUUAAUACAAUUUUAAUAAAAAAUUGAGAAUGAACUGAGAGAAUUGAGUGAGAAUUAAGAGAAGAUUGAGAAUGAAUUGAGAGAGUUGAGAGUGAAUUGAAAAAGUGGGAUAUUUGGGGUUUAAAUAGGGGAAAAGACUUGCCGUUAGGAGGGAGUCGUUGGAAUUCGAUCGUAGCCGUUAGGAAAAACGCGUCUAGCUGAAUAUGUUUUGUUGACUAAGCAGGAAAGCGCAUCCAGUUGGAAGCAUUUUCGUGCCAAAUCUACUCUCUCUCCAAAAUCGGCUUAAUUUGAUAAAUUUUAGAAAAAAAUCGGUCUAAUCCGCUAUUUUUUUCGAAAAAAAAUAGCAUUUUUGGGUAAUUCACCCAAAAUAUGUUACUAUGAACGCUUAUUAUCAAUGUUUAAUACAAUUGUUUACUAUUAUUAACUAUAUUUUUGGCAGAUUUAUUGGAGAUCUUAUAAUGAAUUAGGCUUUAACAAAGGUAAACUAAGUGAAGGGCUUUUAUAGUAGUUUAGCCUAAACUAGAAGAUCGUAUAGUGGAGGCCUUGAACUCCAAUAGUUUAUAUAUUUUUCUCCUUCCUAUAUAUAAAGUUUGUCUAAACAUAUUGGUGAGGGAAAAAAAACAAAGAAAAUGAUGAAGUUUGAGGCUCAGAUUCUUUCAAAAGAAAUCAUCAAACCAUCUUCCCCAGAAAUUCAUCAAAAAGAACCCUUCAAACUCUGUGUAUUUGAUCAGCUAACUCCCACCACUUAUGUUCCAAUCAUAGUAUUUUAAGCCCUGAGUGAUACCAACACCACCAAUAUUUUGACUCAGCUGAAGAAAUCUCUUUCAGAAACCCUAAACAUCUUGUAUCCCUUCUCUGGGAGAAUCUUUAGUAACCUGUUCAUCCAUGAUUUCGACGCGGGUGUUCCGUUUUUAUCGGCUCGAAUCGGUUGUCGAUUAUCCGAGUUUCUCAGGCAUCAUACAAAUUGAGACCUUGAACAACUUGCUCCCGUGCACUCCUUUAUCCAAGGAAUCAAAUCAUCGGGGUCCUCUCUUGGUUUGUCAAGUCACCAUGUUUGCAUGUGGUGGAAUAGCUUUAGGCAUCUGCGCCUCACAUAAAAUCACUGACGCCAACACAACCGUCAUUUUAGGCUUUGUUUGGAGCACAAUCUGCCAAGGAUACCACCCUGAAAUUAGAUUUCCUGCCUUAUCUAAGGCAUCCUUGAUCUUUCCACCUAAAAAUCCAAUGCCCAAGAAUUACAUAUAUCCAUGAUGGAAAACUUAUGGUUCACUGAAGGUAAUUUUAUUACACGGAAAUUUGUGUUUAAUGAGGAAGCAAUAGCCAUCCUAAAGGACAUGACAAAAGGGGAAGUCGUGACCACACCGACACGAACCGUAGCUAUCUCGGCUUUCAUCUGGAAAUGUUCAAUGGCGGCAUCCAGGGCGAUACAAGGAACCUUGAAACCAUCCAUUGUAGUCCAAGUGGUGAAAAUGAGGUCAAAAGGGAAGCUUACGACAUUAGAUGGUUCGAUUGGGAAUGUGUUUUGGUUGGCGAGUGCACUCUCGAAUCCAGCCGAGACAGGCACCGAGCUAUCCACAUUGGUCGAGUUGAUGAGUCAAUCCAUUGCUGCUAUCGACGACGAAUACAUGAGAUCCGUCCAAGGUGAACAAGGGUUUGAAGCCAUCGCUGAGCACUUGAACCAGCUGGAGCUGUUGUUUUCCUUUGAAAAACCUGAUAUUUUCGCCUUCACCAGCUGGAUCAAUACUCAUUUUGACAAACUAGAUUUCGGAUGGGGGCAACCUUGUUCAUGGGCAAUACUGGGAAAAGCAGGGCAAUUUGGAAACUUAACUAUUCUCGUUGAAACCAAAUAUGGGAAAGGAAUAGAAGCUUGGAUAACCUUAGAUGAAACCAGAAUGUAUGCACUACAAAAAGAUCAUGAAUUCCUAAACUUUGCUUCUCCAGAUCUCCAGAUUUCAAGCUUGUGAGUGUCUUUGGAUGAUCAAUAAAAUCUCCUCUACUAUGAAUAAGGUAUUUUUCAGUAGUAUAUGGUUUCUACCUACUUUAAUUUUUUGUCUUUCAGGUACUUUUAAGCAUUGCUGUUGGACUGCUAUGUUGACGGAUUAUUAGUUUUUUUUUCUUUUCAAAAUAUAUAUUUGAGAGUGGGUGUGAAAGUCUUUGGAAUUUUUUUAUCAGUUAGUGUUUAAUAUAUUAUUUAUUGGAAGCCAUUUUCAUUUGCUUCCCGCAUCUCCUCUCUAUCAAAUGUUUCAUUUUGGAUACAAGGGUCACACAGCCGUGUGACAUAACUUAAACCGUGUGAGUAUUUGAAGCAUGGGACACAUAGUCAUGUUCCAGCCCAUGUGUCUGCCUAUGUGGGUAUUUGAAAUAGGGCCGCAUGGUCAUGUUGCAAGCCAUGUGCCAAACUAUAUGUAUAUUUGAAAUAUGGUUACACAAUCGAGUCGUAGGCCAUGUGAAGUCUGCACCUAAAAUAAUAUUUACACACAGCUGUGUGGGAUGACCAUGUGUGGCACACGGCCAUGUGACAACUCGUUUCUCAGGCCGUGUGUUUUAUAAGUUGCCGCUUAAAUAAGCCAAAUCAAGCACCAAUUCUUGCACACCGAAACACGUUAUUUACACAAGCAUUCAUAUGACCAAAACACAUUCAAACACACUCCAAAACAUACCAAAUCAACCACCCUAUAAACAUAACCAAUAUGUCAUCGAAAGGAACCACAAUUCAUACUUCAAAAUCAAUCCAACCAACAUCUAAAGUUCAUUCAUUAAGCACAAGUCAAACAUACCAAAACCAUUUCACACAUACAUAUCAUUUAGCCAUGCAUGAUUUACCUAUCAUCACGUGGGUAUGCAUAAAUGUUUAACAACACACCUACUUGCACCAUUAUUUACAAUUCAUCAAUCAAAAACAUUAAGGCAUACAUAAGUUUGGCACUAUACUCAAACAUACCAAAUUGUCAAGUUAACAUUCAAGCCCUUUUACAUGUCAUUUUUAACCCUAAAUCAAAGUAACCAAAAACCACCAAAAUGAUAAUUGGAUAGUGUAAUCAUGCUCCGAUGCAAUUCCAACCAAUCGAAUUUUCUGAUGAUCUAAAAGAUAGAGAAAAACAACUACGUAAGCAACUAGUGCUUAAUAAGCUCGUAUGAAGGAAACUUAAACUUAUGGAACAUAAAACGAUUAAAAUUCAAACAUUGUUCAUUAGAUCAUAUGAAUAUUUUUCAUUCCUAUCCACAACACAUCACAUAGUUAGUAGAUAUAUUUAAAAAUAUAUCAACCUAUGAAACAUGCCACAUAUCGUGAAAAGGAUUCCAAUAUAUAAACCAUCCAUCAUAUAUUCCAUUUGUUACAUUUUCAAUCCAAUUACACAUACUACAUUUUCCACUUCAUAUUCUCAAUAACAUAGCUCAUUAUAUACAUACCUUUUCGUUUUAAACCUGAAUUACUCGUUGAACCAAAUUGAAUAACAUCAGAUACUCGAGAAAUGCUCACACAAAGUGUAUCUUUACAUGUAACUGUAAUUGUAUCUAUAAUGCUCACACGAAUUGUGAAGAAUCUAUAACAAAUGCAGGACACAUCCAGGACCAGCACCCAAAACC